AAUAGAUACCCAGGUAGUCCACGCCGUAAACGAUGAUAACUAGCUGUCCGGGCUCAUGGAGCUUGGGUGGCGCAGCUAACGCAUUAAGUUAUCCGCCUGGGGAGUACGGUCGCAAGAUUAAAACUCAAAGGAAUUGACGGGGGCCUGCACAAGCGGUGGAGCAUGUGGUUUAAUUCGAAGCAACGCGCAGAACCUUACCAGCCUUUGACAUCCCGGUCGCGGUUAGAGGAGACUCUUUCCUUCAGUUCGGCUGGACCGGUGACAGGUGCUGCAUGGCUGUCGUCAGCUUGUGUCGUGAGAUGUUGGGUUAAGUCCCGCAACGAGCGCAACCCUCGUCCUUAGUUGCCAUCAUUUAGUUGGGCACUCUAAGGAAACCGCCGGUGAUAAGCCGGAGGAAGGUGGGGAUGACGUCAAGUCCUCAUGGCCCUUACAGGCUGGGCUACACACGUGCUACAAUGGCGGUGACAGUGGGCAGCAAACCCGCGAGGGUGAGCUAAUCUCCAAAAGCCGUCUCAGUUCGGAUUGUUCU
rnacentral:rRNA from 1 species